AUGCAUCAUACUAGUAAAUCAUUUUUAGCUUAUGUGAGCUUAAUGAACUUGACACUUCUGGCUUAACUUUAGUGAACAUGUAUCUGUGAACACCUAGGUCAGGGGUCCUCAAUCACAGUCCUGGAGGGCCACAGUGGCUGCAGGUUUUUAUUCCAACUAGUUUCCUAAUUAGAAAGCAGUCCAUGCUGAUAAUGAAACUUGGUAUUGAACUAUUUAGCUUGUUAAUGCUUGCAUUCAUCCAAGAGCAAUUUGAAUUGCACUAUAGAGUUUCCUUCUGUGAGAACAUUAUCCACGUGUUUUGUGGACCAGAAUAUGUUUAAACUUAAUGGUCCUUCCAAUUCCCCUCUCGUUCAUUUCUAAACAUUUUUUUUAUCACAAAUACUUCAUGGUAAGCACGUUAGCUGGAGAGCUGCUGGUUUAUUAGCAUUACCCACACUCCACUAGAUUGGUUCAGAUCCUACCUCUCAGGCCGCACUCGGUUUGUUCAGAUUAAAACUUUCACAUCCCAACCCACCGCUGUUACUUCAGGUGGGCUCUGUCCUGGGGCCCCUCCUUUUCAUUAUUUACCUCCUUUCCCUUGGCAAUAUCUUUCGUAAAUAUAACAUUAGCUUCCACUGUUACGCAGAUGACACCCAGCUCUACCUCACGAGCAGACCUACUUUUUCCUUUCCACCCUCCUCACUUAUUGAUUGCAUAGCAGAAAUCAAAUCCUGGUUUUCUUCAAAUUUUCUUAAAUAGUGACAAAACUGAGGUUCUCCUCAUUGGUACAAAAUCAACAUUAUCCUUGAUAAUUCCUCUGUCUCCCCUUCCCCACAGGUUAAGAGUCUGGGUGUCAUCCUUGACGGUACUCUUAUCUUUUCAGUCCCACAUCAAUAACAUCUCCCGGUCUGCAUAUUUCCACCUAUGUAACAUUAAUCGUAUUCGCCUCACUCCCCACACCACUGCUUAUUCUCGUUCAUAGCCUUGUCACUUCUUGUCUGGAUUAUUAUAAUUCCCUUUUCUUUGGUCUUUCUCGCAGAUAUGUUCAUAAGUUUCAGCUGCCUGCAUCAUUACUAGAGUCCCCUCUAUUCACCAUAUCACUCCCAUCUUGCAGCAGCUUCACUGGCUUCCAGUUAAGUUCCGCAUUCAAUUCAAAAUUCUCUUGUUAAGAUUUAAGACUUUUCACAACCUUCCCCUCCAUAUCUGUCCAACCUCUUCCAUGUUGCCAUUUCCUCCCGCACCCUUAAAUCCUCUUCAUCCUUCCACUUGACUAUCCCCUUCAUCUCUUACCACCAUGGGGAGCAGAGCAUUCAGUUGCUCAGGAACACUUUACCUUCCGAGCUUAGAAACAUUGAUUCAUUUCUCUUUGACUACAAUUGCUCUCUCUGAUUUUAAAUUUUGUAUUUUAGUUUUGUUUAUAAUGUGUGUUUCAUCUAUUGUUUGGUGUCCUUGAGUGUUUAGAAAGGUGCUUAGGAUAAAUAAAAUAUUAUUAUUAUUAUUGGUUAACUGCAUCUCAUUAUUAACUAGCUGUCUGAUUAAGAAAACAGACAACAAUUAAAACUUAAAUGCAGCUGCCAGAAACUAAAGUAGACAAUUAAGGGUUCUGAAUGGUAACGGGCAAGAGAACUAAAAUUAAGCCCAGAAAACGUAUUGCUUUAGUAGUAAAUAAAAGGGUUCUAAUUAAGAAAUUGGUUAAAGUGAAAACCUGCAGCCACUUCAGACUUUAGGACUGUAAUCGAGGACCUCUGAUCUACAAAGUAACUCAAAUUUGUCUUUGAUGAAUAAAGGCACUAACAAGGCACAGAGUUAAACACCAACUUUCAUUAUCAGCAAGGACUGAGCUCUAAUUAGGACACUGGCUGGAAUGAAAAGGUGUAGCCCAGGGGUCCUCAAUCACAGUCCUGGAGGGCCGCAGCGGCUGCAGGUUUUUGUUCUAACCCAGUUGCUUAAUUAGAAAGCAAUUCUUGCCAAUAAUGUAAUUUCAUGGCUUGUUAGUACUUUAACUCUGCCAUGUCGGCUCAUUCCAGCAUCAUAUUUUUUUCAUUCCAGCAUCAUAUUUUCUUGCCCUUUCUAAGGAUACCAUCCAAAUGAUUUGAAUGCUAAAAUGGAGGAGUAAUUCUCAGUCCUUCACUUUCCUUCCAAGUAUUUAAUUAAACCCAAUAGUGCGUGAUAAAUAUACACGGGUGUAAAUGGUAACACACUAAAUGGAGUAAUGCUGGUCUCUUUAUGAUUUGCAUGUUAUUGCUAACUAGGAGCCAUUAAAAAACCAAGAAUACAGCUGUUUAAGAAUAAAAUAAGCAAUAAGUAUUCAAAAUCUUAAUGAGCGAGACGACUAAAGUGAAGCAGAAGUGUUACAUGAGCAAUGAGGGCUUCUUAUUAAGCAAUUGAGUUGAAGCAAAAACCUGCAGCCAUUGCGGCCCUCCGGGACCGUGAUUGAGGACCCCUGACCUAGGUAGUCAGACUUUUUUUUUAAACAAUGGAGAAAUAUUAAUUUGAAGUAAUGUUAAUGUUUUUUAACUGUGCAAACCUAGCAAGGUAGCAAGCCUACCUAGUAAUCGAAAAUAAUGGAGUAGACAGUGGAGUACUUCAGCUUUGCCAUUUUCUGCGUGCUGGUGAUCUGGUGCUUAAUCUAGAUGUCUGAGCUGUGCUUCGUCAAGAUAGACAGGAAUAUUCCACUUUUGCUGGAUGUGGUCCACUUGGAGAGCUGUACUUGAUAAGAGGAUGUAGUACUUAAUUUUUUCCUUCUCCAAGUAUAAAUGUCAGAAAUUAAAGGGGGCCCUGGAUUACAACACUUCUGCGUCAAGCAUCUACGUUAGAUUAGAUUAAACCUUUAUUGUCACAUGCACUACAAGAGCAUAGUGAUUUGGGUGGGAGGUGAUGGGGAGUAUCCAGGAAAGUAUGUACAUGGGGCAAGACAAUAAAAUGAUAUAUAAGUAAGCAAGUACAAUAAAUAAGAGUAGCAUAAGAAUGGCUUACUGUGUAUGUAUAUAAUGCAAAAUGGAACUGACAUAUGGAUUUCACAGUUUAACAGUAGUAGAAACGUAAAAAAAUAUACAAUACAUUUAAACCUAAACCAACAGGUGGGUACAGUACAGGGCAGGUAAGAUCAGUUUAUCGAGACUUAUCUUAUGGCCUCAGGGAAGGAACUGACCCUGAAGCAGGUUGGAGCAUCUGGAAAGGCUCCGGUGGCAUUUAUCAGAAGGUAGAAGUGAAAACGUGAGGAGCCGGAUGGAAGCUAUGGAAGGUCAGCCCCAUUGAUUUUUAGAAGCUGUCCUUUGGCAGGCGUUUGUGAUCCUAGCAAGUCAAGUUACCACACCACAAUGCAUCCGUUCAGCAAUAGUGCAGCAGUAGAAGUUCGCCAGGAUAUUUUGUUCCCACUCCCAAAGCUCUUUAGCCUCCAAACAGUGACAUAAAGCUGCUGAAUGUGGAACUGUCUUUAAGGGUUUGAAAGUCUAGAGAAAAUGCAGACACAUGGAACAGGGCUUUUAAUUAGGAAAUUGUGAGUUAUAACUUGAACUGCCCUGCUAUAAAAUGUUAGAAUCUUAACAGUUACAAGUAACUCGCACUGAAGAGCUCCCAUUAUUUAGGGAAAAAAAUAAAGGACCCAUCCAUGUUCCUUCAAAAGCCAAACGGCACUCUCCAUGCAAUUUGGAAACGUAGUAAAUUGUAUUGCAAUUGUCAUGUUUUGUUGGGAUUGGGCAGGAUCUUUGUUUAUAAUGUUUAUGCAUCACUAGCAUCCUAUCAUGUUUUAAAUGAGGUUAGGCUGGUGAUGGCAAAAGUCAAAUGCAAUAUUAUCAGCAGCAUAAUUACAAGGGGGAAGGCAAGCUAAAGUUGGAAACUGGAACAAACCUUAACAAAACUCAGUGGAGUCUCCACCCUUCUUCUCAGUGCAGUUGUGCCACCUGCCUAACAGUGCCAGCAGAAUAAAAGAUUUUUGUCCUGUCCUCGCCACCACUCGUGUACCCAAGUUAUUGUCGACCACUACCUGCCGAUGGGUACACCAGUCACUUGUGUGAGUUCCUGUGACUUGCUGGAGACCAAUGUGAAGCCUGCUAUUCGAUCCAAGCGGAGGGGACUGCUGUCUCAAGGAGUCCUUUUGCUGUAAGACACACUGUCUAAGAACACCAAGGCUUGUCUGGAGAAACUGAAGUUUGAGGUAUUGCCACAUCCUCCUCAUUGGCCAGAUUUGGCAUCGUGUGAUUUCCACCUUUUUGGACCACUGAAAAGAAAAAAAAAAAAAAAAACAUCUGGGUGGUCAUGGAUUCAAGACCGAUGACAACGUGAAGAAGCGGUGCAUGAGUGGGUGGCGAGGACAGGACAAUACCUUUUAUUCUGCUGGCACUUCCAGGCAGGUGGCGCAAGUGCAUUGAGAAGAAGGGUGGAGACCACAUUGAGAAAUGAUGCAAGCAGUUUUGUGAAGGUUCAUUCCAUUUUCUAAUUUUAGCUUGACUACCCCUCAUAUAUAAAAUAAUCUCUUUAUAAAUUAUAUGUAAUAAUAAACAAUGUUUUUCUUACAUGAAAUUGGCUGUGACAAAUGAAGCCACUUCCGUUAUGUACUACUGACCAUAAUUUAAAAAACAAGCCGUUCCCAGCUUAAGUUAGACCUUUUCAUUUUAAACAACUUACUGUUCAGUUGCUGUCUGCAGCACAUCUCACUUGCGUAAGCAAGGCUGGUUUUCUAAUAGGCUCCUAAGAAACUGAGCACGCAGAGCACAAGCUUCAUUAUGUACUCUCUGCUUACAAGGAAGGCAGUUCAAGGAAAAGUGCUCAUCGCUUUCUACUGUCCUUUUAAUUAAACGCUCAGUUGUUUACCAGGUUGCCUGAGCUCCUUGCAGCUGAGCUUUAGUCAUUUAUUGUGAUGCUGCAGUUUUCUAUUGGAGCUGCUCUGUUUUGAUAAUGGUUGCUUUCUAAAGGACACCGUGAAACUGAUUUGGAGAGGUUUGAGAUUUUCAGUUGGUAGAAUGGGUAACUAAAAGCGGUAAGAAAGCAUCCUGGAUUUGCUGGCUUCCACCUCCUCGGGCUGGCUGAGACAAUAGCUGUUGUUCACAAAAAGUGAAAAAAAUUAAAAACAAGACGGCAUCCUGAAUGGAUGUGACGUUACCUGGGAGUUGUACCAAUUUAUCCCCCCCGCCCCCAUAUCAUUAGUAUGCCAUCAAAUGGCUGGAUAGAUUGGCAAAAAAGUAUGAGCCCAAUAUUAGAAAUGACAUAUUUAAUUAUCUUUUACAUUUUUUAAAGGAAGUGUUGAGGUUAUGAGAAUAGAAAUGAGAAAACCGCAAUGGUAGGCACUUAGGAGGUGAAAAUGAAGUCGUGCACAUUGAGAGUGGUAAGAAGGCCCACUUCCAUGUGUCAAAGCAGCAGGAGAAAGAGAGCAAGUGAAAUUGUUUUUAUCUAUUUAUUUGUUUUCUUUUGAUGGUUAAAGUGAUAGUCCGGGGGACCUUAAGGUGGGUACAUAGUGAUGGGACAGCAGCUGCUGGGCAGCUGUAACAGUAUGUGAAGAUGGUUUUAGUAUGUAGGGAGAAAGGAAAGGCGGAAGUGUGCGUUUGUGUAGCAAGUGUUGUCGUGACUCAGUUUGAGGGUUUGUUUUCUUUAAACUUUGCUCAUUUGUGUGGCACAGCAAGCAGAGGUCAUUUUAAGUGGGUCUUCAGUUUAUUUGUUGCAUAUUAACUGUGGAUUUCGGUUCGUGAUUUCCUGUUUGCCCACCCCUCCUAUAAACACGAUUCCCGCUAUAUUUAUAAUGAGGUUGAUGCCUUUUAAAUAUACAGGGAGAUUCACUCUAAAGAGGCCCUGAAUACUCUGAUGUGACUCCCGGUAGGAUGAAGCCAUCUGAACCAAACGCAUACGCUCUAUACCUUGACAAAUGUGGAAUCGAUUGCAUUACAUGUGAUGCUGGAAGUGGUUUCUGUUUUCUGCCAGACACAUUUGAAUGCGCCGCUCCAUGUUCCUGAAUGUCUCUGGGGGGAAUAGCAGCAAUUUCACGUUGGAUGCUUUCCUUCACAUCUUCUGCAGUGUGAGGCUUGUUCCGAUAGACUUUUCCUUUGAGCAGACCCCAAAGGAAGAAGUCUGGUGGUGUCAGAUCCGGCCACCGUGGUGGCCAAAGCCGCUUUGUAAUUACCCUGUUGCCGAAGAAGGACUCAGUUUCUGCCAUGCUCCUUGCCGACGUGUGACACGUCGCUCCAUCUUGCUGGAAGUCACCUUCCGUUAACUCACGAUCAUCCAGUUGAUUCGAUGAAACGAAUUGGUGACCCCAAUAGGUUUGCACCAUGAAGACGCACUGCUCAGUACUGGACACCACCAUCCUGAUGAGAAGUCGAGUGACUGAGUGAAGGGGUACGGACGGUAGGCAUCCAGAAGUUGCAGAUGGAGGUUUAACAUCACAACGGCUGUCCGGCACCUACCUCAUCGCUCUGACACAGGGGCAUCCCGACUUAUUGGAAGCUCCAUAGACUGACGAGCACAUUGCACGUUGUUUCGUUCAGAUUGCUUCAUCCUAGUGAGAGUUAUUACAGAAUAUUCGGGGUCUCUUUCAAGUGAAUCUCCCUGUAGUACAAGGUUUAAAGAUUUUAUUCAGUCAUGUUUGUGCAAGAAAACAUAGUUUUCUUUCUCAGCUUCAUCCAGUAACAGCAAGAAGUGUUUUUUUUUUUUUUUAAACAAUCAUACAUUAAUUAACAACAAAUACUUUUAACUACUUCUAGCAGCUUGACUGUUAGUUUUUACCUUAAACAGUUCCACAAUACAUAAGAAAAAACUCUAUACUCCUCUAACUUUUACUGUGUGUGAUAUUCCGUAUUAAAAAGCUGUAAGGCAUUUGGAAAAAAAUGGAGCGACUGUCCUCCCUGAGGUACUGAAGCAGUGGGAUGAUUUCCAGUUUCUUCAGUGUUGCUCUCCAACAUUCACAGAUAUCAAAUCAUCUACUAUUAUAGCCGCUUGUUUGGUAACGUGCUGGAGCUUUUAAAAUCAGGCAGUCAAGCUGAAAGUAGUGACAGACUAGAUCACACCUUGGUAAAAUGACAACGUGAGGUCCUUGUCCUCUGUAAAUAGUGCUGGUUGCAUUUAGGUUAUGUGUUACUGCAUUAAUAUUCUAGUUAAGAUUAUUAAUGAGCAUUUACUCGAAUUUAGGUAUUAUAAAUGUUUUUAGCAAUAUUAAAGUAAAUUAAUGAACCUUACUUUUAUAUAUAAUAUUUGAAUUACCCCUUUGGAAUUAAUUUAUUCUAAUCUAAUCACAUCCUUAAACCUGUUUAAUCCAGUUCAUGGCCAUAGCGGCUCAGGUCCUAUCUCUCCGGGGGCCAAGCCUGAAUGGAGCACCAGGGCCCACUCACUUGGGAGCACAUAUCUCAAAAGACAGUGGGAGUUGAAAAUCACACAACAUAUCCGUCAUUGGGUUUAUAGCAAAGCACAGAAAGCCAGCACUGGUGCGUUUUUUAUUUCUUUUUUUUGUACAUACAUCAGCACUAAUUGAAAUGAACUAUAAAAGCCAUCCAAGGUUCACCUACCUUUGAUUUGCUCUAACUAAAUAUUCACUUGGAUUUUAGUUUUCAGUGUAGGUAACGUGUAAUGAUGAGGACUGGCUUGGUUAAUCUUACCGAUCAUUAAGUAGAUUUUGAAAGUUCUACUUGUUUCUACCUUAAGCUUUCCAAGUAACUCUGAGAGUGAGUAGCGUUCAAUAAGUCUGCGCUGCAGGGCUUAUCUGCUUCAGCAUCUGCUUUCCUUCAAUUUCAAAGCUAUCUAAUUUUAGGAGACGACUUAAACAUGUUUACUGUAGUCUUAGUAAAAUUAAAAUAAAUAAAUUUGGGAAUAUUUAAGAUAUGGUCACCCAGCAAAAGUGGAUAUCCACUCCAAGACAUGAGAUAUCACAUCAGAUUUUUAAGACAUGUAUACAUAAAGGGGACGCAUUAGAACUAUUUUACUCCUCAACAAUUUACAGUAAAAAAAGUUAGGAACUAGGAUUAUGACUUUUUUGUAGUUAAUUAUUUUUAAAAUUCUGCUUUUAAACUUUCCAAACAACCCCAGGAGUGUGAGUGUUGUUCAAUAGGUCUGGGCUGUAGAGCUCAUCAGAUUCCUGUGAAGCUAUCUGCUUUCCUUAUGAAGAAUUUCCUAAAUCCCAGCUCAUGUACAGACUUUGUUUUUCCUCAAAAAGCAGAAUGAUGUGUGCACACGUAAAGUUACCCGAGUUGUAAGAUGUACACAAGCAACAAGUAGUCUCCUCACGCCCAGUAGAAGCCAGAGUCCCUCUGCUGGUGGGAGCAGAUUCCAGUUCUUUCUUGCCUAACAUCUUUGGUUUCUUUUUCACAUCCAUCAAAAUCUGCAUCUCAUGGUUCCUGUUAGCAUCAGUUUCCAGGGACCAGAGGCCCUCAAUCACUGGGUCGUUUUAUGUAGCAAAUCUUAUUUCCUUCCUGCUGUGUGUUGCUUCCAAUCAUCGCUUCCAUUCUCCUGGUUAUUUCAAUGUACACUUGUGAAGAGGUAGACUUCUAACUUUUUACGGUAAAUUCAGCCAAACAGUAGGUUCUAAAAGUUAACGGAUUUUCUGUUGACAUUUCUCCCGAAAAAGCAUCUGUUGUCGAUAACGUUCCUGCUGCGUAAUACACUCUGAGGUGUCUUAUUAGGCCUACGUCCAUACUGCUGCGUUUUUUUGUUUUAAAAAUGCAGACUUUGGUCUCUGUUUUUACCCUUUUGUCCACGCUAUUCCAGUGUUUUUAACCUCCAAAAAUGUAAACCUUUGCAAACGCUCUCCACAGCCAUAUGCUUCUGAAAAUGCUGACUCGAUAAUGUAGUGUGGAUGGGUGGAAAUGAAACGUUUUGAAAAUGCAGAAUCCAAUCACGCUGUUAUUGUUUCAUCCGUUACUAUGCGUGUCCCUUCUCUGAUUGGAUCUCGUUCAUUACAUUUUCUCAGCCGCUUUGCUUGCCUUAUUCUCACGCAUUACUCUAUUCCACCUCAUCGUCAGCCCACAGAAAAUAAUCUUAGUUUUUUGGUAGUCGCCAUUGCUGUUUUCACGUGUAAAUACAAGCUGCAAUAGAGUGUCUAGUGUGGAAGACACUUCCUCGUUCAGUCUCUGCUGAAGCCCACGUGCCCAGUGUAGACGAUUGGCAUUGUCAGUCAGUUUUGUUUGAGUCGAGACAUUUUCGAUGUGAAAACACUAGUGUGGACGGAGGUCGUUUGUGUUUAAAAUUGCCAUUUUUACGUGAAAAUGUAGUAGUGUGGACGUAGCCUUAGUCAUAUUGUUGUUGGUAUGGAUAGUAAAAUGGCUUACCAGUCCAAGUCCUUCAGUUUCUACUUCCACGCAUUGUUUGCCUUCACUCGCAUCCUGCCACUUUCUGUGUCGAUUAGAGGGCUUCAAAGGGGGUGCAGAUUUUCGGUUUACUCGACGUUAUGCCAAAGCUUUUCCACAUUAAGAAGGUAAGACCCAUCUCUUACUUGCUGAUCGUGUCUAUAAAGGUAGUACAGUUAGCCCAAAAACUGUCUGUCUUGAUCCAGAGCGCCUCCAUCCAUUCUGUCGUGUUUUCAUUUUAUGCGUGUCACACUUCAUGAGUAGCAUUUUCUAGUUACCAGUGUGUGAAUUACUCUUCAAUCUAUUGCUCGGUUGGAAUUUUAAAAGAGAAAAAAAAGUGCAGUUUUAUUGCAUUUUUAAAAUCAUAUUUUUUUACAUUUUUUUCUUUAGAUUGAAAAGUAGGCAAUUUUGUUUUUUUUGUUUUUUUUCUUUUUGUAUUUUUUUUUUUUGUUAUGAUUAUUAUUGUUGUACUUUUAAAUCAGGAUCCUCAGAACUGUUUUAUUGAAUUUGUGCAAAAUCACCACAUGAAAACAAGUUUUAAUCUGACAAGCCAAAGGUAUUAAAGACAAAAUUAGCCAGAGAGAGAUUAGAAUGGAUUGUAGCUUGGAGUUGGGUAGUCUUACGCUGUAUUUAUCAAUCGCAUGUUAUUUUUGUACAUGUAACUGCUAUUGAUUUUACACAAAGGGCUGUUAGAAACACACCUUUGUUCUUAUUUAUUUUUACACAAAUAUAUUUGAGAAAUGUAAAAUUGUUUGGGAAUUAAUGACACACCUUUGCCGCUAUUUCUGUCUUCCAGAUUUAUUCAUUGGAAUCAAUGCAACAGGUGUAAAUCCGAUUCAAAAGUACAAAAAACAAAAUGGCGUUUUAGUUGAAUUUAAUGGAGGACGGUGGGAGAAAUACUCUGACUAACUGCUCUGACUGGUCAGUGCACUGCGGUUUAAGUCAAUGACUGGACAGGGCCGUGUCGGACUUGGCAAAGGUGUGUCUCGUUUAUCGUAUGUAAUAUGGGUCAGGGGCGGGGCUUGUGUUUGGGCUCAUUUGUAUUUAAUUUUGUUUUUCAAAACCAAGAGGUCUGUUAUAUCCCAAUCACUCAUCUGAAAAUAAAUUCAGAAUUACUGCAGGGUA